GGUUACGAGACCCGGUCUACCACCGGGAUGUUCAUAACCCUUUGUUGUCCGACUCUGUUGCCUCCGGGGCGACCCUGCCUUCGGGCGGGGGCUCCGGGUGGACACUUCAAACUCUUGCGUAACUUUGCAGUCUGAGUAAACUUAAUUAAUAAAUUAAAACUUUUAACAACGGAUCUCUUGGUUCUGGCAUCGAUGAAGAACGCAGCGAAAUGCGAUAAGUAAUGUGAAUUGCAGAAUUCAGUGAAUCAUCGAAUCUUUGAACGCACAUUGCGCCCCCUGGUAUUCCGGGGGGCAUGCCUGUUCGAGCGUCAUUUCACCACUCAAGCCUCGCUUGGUAUUGGGCAACGCGGUCCGCCGCGUGCCUCAAAUCGACCGGCUGGGUCUUCUGUCCCCUAAGCGUUGUGGAAACUAUUCGCUAAAGGGUGUUCGGGAGGCUACGCCGUAAAACAACCCCAUUUCUAAGGUUGACCUCGGAUCAGGUAGGGAUACCCGCUGAACUUAAGCAUAUCAAUAGCCGGAGGAA
rnacentral:rRNA from 1 species